ACUCCUACGGGAGGCAGCAGUGGGGAAUAUUGGCAUCAAUGGGGGAAAGCCCAUCGAUGCAGCCAUGCCGCGUGUGUGAAGAAGGCCUUCGGGCUUGGUAAAGACACUUUUCAGCGAGGAGGAAAGGGUGUAAGUUAAUACCUUACAUCUGUGACGUUACUCGCAGAAGAAGCACCGGCUAACUCCGUGCCAGCAGCCGCGGUAAUACGGAGGGUGCGAGCGUUAAUCGGAAUUACUGGGCGUAAAGCGUGCGCAGGCGGUUUGUUAAGCGAGAUGUGAAAGCCCCGGGCUCAACCUGGGAACCGCAUUUCGAACUGGCAAACUAGAGUCUUGUAGAGGGGGGUAGAAUUCCAGGUGUAGCGGUGAAAUGCGUAGAGAUCUGGAGGAAUACCGGUGGCGAAGGCGGCCCCCCUGGACAAAGACUGACGCUCAGGCACGAAAGCGUGGGGAGCAAACAGGAUUAGAUACCCUGGUAGCUA
rnacentral:rRNA from 1 species